rnacentral:lncRNA from 1 species
CUUUCGCCCGAGGCGGGCUGCGGGCUGCUGGGGUCUGGUGCGGAGGGCCAACUUCUGGGAAUAACCUGGCUGUGGGCUUAAAAAUCGUAGUCAUUCAUUAUCACGGGCUUCUCUCUCUCGAAUACCUUUAACAUUUAUCGCCUUGUUAGUCUCCACAUCCACCUCCGUGAAAGAGAUGGAGUCUCGCUAUAUUUCCCAGUCUGGCCUCAAACUCCUGAUCUUAAGGGAUCCCCAGCUCAACCUCUCCCAGCAGCUGGGACUACCGGGCUGUCAAAUUUACAUUAACUAUGAGAAUUAAGCAGAAUCCGAAAGUCAUCUGAGUUGGCUAUCUGCACGUUCUCUCUGUACCAGUGAACUUGAACUGUGGCUGUGGCCUGGAUUCCGCAUUCAAACAUGACCAACUGACCUCUGGUUGUAGGGAUGUCUUGAAGAUGCUGAAGAACAAACACAGAGUUCAGAGGAUGGAAGAAACUGUUAUACCAUCUACAAUGAUUUGAAAUGCCAUUUGCAACUGCAGUUGACCGUGGGUUAUUGAAACCACAGAAAGUGAAACUGGAUAACGAAUGUCAAGCUGAGCUCCCAGACUCUGAUACAGGCUGGGGAUGAUGAGAAGAACCAGAGGACGAUCACUGUCAACCCUGCCCACAUGGGGAAAGCAUUCAAGGUUAUGAAUGAACUGCGGAGUAAACAGCUGUUGUGUGACGUGAUGAUUGUGGCAGAAGAUGUCGAGAUAGAAGCCCACCGUGUGGUCCUGGCAGCCUGCAGCCCCUACUUCUGUGCGAUGUUCACAGGUAAAAACCAGAAACUGUGGGCAAGCAAAAAGUAAAAAAUUACGUGUACUACAACAUCUAGUUCAUGUUGCCCAAAUGUCCUGAGGUGGUUCCAAAUACCAAUCCCACACUUCUUGACCAUUGUCCUGUGGACAAUAACUUGGAAUAAAUGUGAAACUGAAGUCUGAGUGCCCAUCAGAGAGUGUCCCAAUCCAACCAGUCUAUAAGAAGAUCUGGGGUGACAUGUCUGAGAGUAAAGCCAAAAAGAUAGAAAUCAAGGACGUGGAUGGGCAGACGCUGAGUAAGCUGAUUGACUACAUCUAUACUGCUGAAAUCGAGGUGACUGAAGAGAAUGUCCAGGUGCUGCUCCCGGCAGCCAGCUUGCUGCAGCUCAUGGAUGUUCGGCAGAACUGCUGUGACUUCCUGCAGUCUCAGUUGCAUCCCACCAAUUGCCUGGGCAUCCGUGCAUUUGCAGAUGUACACACCUGCACUGACCUUCUGCAGCAGGCCAAUGCCUACGCAGAGCAGCACUUUCCAGAGGUGAUGCUAGGAGAAGAAUUUCUUAGCCUGAGUCUGGACCAGGUGUGCAGCUUGAUAUCCAGCGACAAGCUGACCGUUUCUUCAGAAGAGAAGGUGUUUGAAGCUGUGAUCUCAUGGAUCAAUUAUGAGAAAGAAACCCGUUUAGAGCACAUGGCAAAGCUGAUGGAACAUGUCCGACUUCCUCUCUUACCUAGGGACUACCUAGUCCAAACGGUUGAAGAAGAAGCUUUGAUAAAGAAUAACAACACCUGUAAAGACUUCCUCAUUGAGGCCAUGAAAUACCAUCUCCUCCCUCUGGAUCAGAGACUAUUGAUUAAGAACCCAAGGACCAAGCCCAGGACUCCAGUCAGCCUUCCCAAGGUCAUGAUUGUGGUUGGCGGCCAGGCACCCAAGGCAAUCCGCAGUGUGGAGUGCUAUGAUUUCGAGGAGGACCGGUGGGAUCAGAUUGCUGAGCUUCCUUCCAGAAGAUGCAGAGCAGGUGUGGUGUUCAUGGCUGGCCACGUGUAUGCCGUGGGAGGGUUUAAUGGCUCACUGCGGGUGCGGACAGUGGAUGUGUAUGACGGCGUGAAGGACCAGUGGACGUCCAUUGCCAGCAUGCAGGAGCGCCGGAGCACACUGGGCGCAGCGGUGCUCAAUGACUUGCUCUACGCAGUGGGAGGCUUUGAUGGCAGUACUGGUAGGU